rnacentral:rRNA from 1 species
ACGGAAGGCAGCAGUGGGGAAUAUUGCACAAUGGGGGAAACCCUGAUGUAGCGACGCCGCGUGAGUGAUGAAGUAUUUCGGUAUGUAAAGCUCUAUCAGCAGGGAAGAAAAUGACGGUACCUGACUAAGAAGCACCGGCUAAAUACGUGCCAGCAGCCGCGGUAAUACGUAUGGUGCAAGCGUUAUCCGGAUUUACUGGGUGUAAAGGGAGCGUAGGCGGCAUGGCAAGCCAGAUGUGAAAGCCCGGGGCCCAACCCCGGAACUGCAUUUGGAGCUGUCAGGCUAGAGUACCGGAGAGGUAAGCGGAAUUCCUAGUGUAGCGGUGAAAUGCGUAGAUAUUAGGAGGAACACCAGUGGCGAAGGCGGCUUACUGGACUGUAACUGACGUUGAGGCUCGAAAGCGUGGGGAGCAAACAGGAUUAGAUACCCUGGUA